CCAUCCUCCAAGGCUAAAUACUCGUGAUCGACCGAUAGUGAACCAGUACUGUGAAGGAAAGGCGAAAAGAACCCCGGGAGGGGAGUGAAAUAGAACCUGAAACCGCAUACAUACAAACAGUAGGAGCCCCUGCAGUGGGGUGACUGCGUACCUUUUGCAUAAUGGGUCAGCGACUUACGUUUUGUGGCGAGCUUAACCGAGUAGGGGAGGCGUAGCGAAAGCGAGUUCGAAUAGAGCGAGUAGUUGCUGGGCGUAGACCCGAAACCGGAUGAUCUAUCCAUGACCAGGUUGAAGGUGUGGUAACACACACUGGAGGACCGAACCGACUAGUGUUGCAAAAUUAGCGGAUGAGUUGUGGAUAGGGGUGAAAGGCUAAACAAAUCCGGAGAUAGCUGGUUCUCCCCGAAAACUAUUGAGGUAGUGCCUCGCGUAUCACUCCAGGGGGUAGAGCACUGUUAUGGCUAGGGGGACAUGGCGUCUUACCAAACCAUGGCAAACUCCGAAUACUUGGAAGUAAGAGCACGGGAGACAGAGCACCGGGUGCUAACGUCCGGACUCAAGAGGGAAACAACCCAGACCGCCGUUUAAGGUCCCAAAUAUUGACUAAGUGGAAAACGAAGUGUGAAGGCUAAGACAGUCAGGAAGUUGGCUUAGAAGCAGCCAUCCUUCAAAGAAAGCGUAAUAGCUCACUGAUCGAGUCCUCAUGCGCGGAAGAUGUAACGGGGCUAAGUCAAUAACCGAAAGCGCGGAUUUGUACGAAAGUACAAGUGGUAGGGGAGCGUUCUGUAAGCCUGCGAAGGUGGUUCGAGAGGACUGCUGGAGGUAUCAGAAGUGCGAAUGCUGACAUGAGUAACGUUAAAGCGGGUGAAAAGCCCGCUCGCCGUAAGCCCAAGGUUUCCUGCUCUACGUUCAUCGGAGCAGGGUGAGUCGGCCCCUAAGGCCAGGCUGAGAAGCGUAGUCGAUGGGAAGCAGAUUAAUAUUUCUGCACCAUGUGCAAGUGCGAUGGGGGGACGGAGUGCGAAAGAUCAUCCGGGUGUUGGAUGUCCCGGUUUGUGAGUGUAGAAGGCCGACAGGCAAAUCCGUCGGCGGAUCUUCGAGACAAAGCAUCGAGGUUCUACGGAACCGAAGUGAUCGGAAGUGCUUCCAGGAAAAGCCUCUAAGCUCCAGCUUGCAUGUGACCGUACCGUAAACCGACACUGGUGGGCGAGUUGAAUAUACUCAGGCGCUUGAGAGAACUCGGGAGAAGGAACUCGGCAAAUUGACACCGUAACUUCGGGAUAAGGUGUGCCUUUGUAGCGUGAAGAGAGAAACACUCGGAGCGUGAAGAGGCCUCAGAGAAUCGGUGGCUGCAACUGUUUAUUAAAAACACAGCACUCUGCAAAGACGAAAGUCGACGUAUAGGGUGUGAUGCCUGCCCGGUGCUGGAAGAUUAAGUGAUGGGGUGAGAGCUCCUGAUCGAAGUCCCAGUAAACGGCGGCCGUAACUAUAACGGUCCUAAGGUAGCGAAAUUCCUUGUC
rnacentral:rRNA from 1 species